CCUGGUCAGAAAACACUGGUAUUGUGUUUCAAUGGGUGGGGUAGCUGAUAUAUAGUAGGGAGAAAAGCGAUCUCACAAACAAGAAACUAUGGGAUUUGUAGACUGAGAGAACGAACUCCAACAGGUAGCAAGUAGCCAGUUCACAAAAAGAUAGCCACAGCAUUAUGGUAAUCUCACAACCUGGGGUGUAGCUAUAGAGGUGGCAGUCGCAUCGGGCCCUGGUACCUAAGGGGGCCCCAAAGCACAUCUUCCCCAUAAAAGACCAGUAUUAUAAUUGGCAAAUGGGGCCCUAUUUCAUAUUUUGUAUCGGGGUCCAGAAGCUGCAAGCUACACCUCUGCUCACAACAUAGCCAAUUAGCCUCAAGACAAGCAAAGAUCCUUCCUAAGCAUGUCCAAUACUGUCUGGCAGGAGACUGAUGUCCAGCGAGAAGGUGAACGUGACAUAUACGCCCGUCAGCUGCAAGAAAGGAACCACGAGAUAGGUGACUGAUGUCCAGCGAGAAGGUGAACGUGACAUAUACGCCCGUCAGCUGCAAGAAAGGAACCACGAGACAGGUAAUUAAU